UGUGAUGGUAUGUGUGAGUGAGUGCGUGUGACUGUAAAGUUUAAGAAAAGAGUUCUGGAAAUGGCUGCAAACUGUCCAGAAGCGUAUUUGGAAACUAAGCUAUAGUUUUCCUUGAGCUGAAUUAUGCUGGAAAUAGAAUUACAAAGCAGGGAGAACCACUGUAAUGCAUACAUUGCCCUAAAAUCAAAUGUUUGGACACGCCAGGCAAUGUAAUACACAGAAGAACAGAUCCAGUUUUCGGGGGAGCUCGGAACAGGAGUUUCGUAUGUCUUUUAAAACAACAUAGAAGAUUCCUGCAAAGAUCCUAUCUGUAGAGGGUAGACCUCCAUCAGACCAUCUAUCCGCAUCUCUUACGUUAAAGUUUUGACUCAAGGACCAGGAGGAGGCGGCACCCCCCCAGAAGCCUCCUCCUUUGUCUGUUUUUUAGGGCGGUCGGCUGUCUGCCAAAGUGGGAUGAUUGGAGCCUCCGGAAAUGAUGAAAAGAACGAUUGAAAACCAGAGAGAAGAGUGAGUGAAAGAGAAAAGAAAAAAAAAAGUUUCUUCUGGGCAAGAACCUGGCCCAGGUUAAUAUUUGGUUACAUUUGUGUGUUUUUGCUGAGAGACCUGGCAGAUGUCCCAAGUGGGAGAAACUUUUCCUCCUGGGCCUGGAGGGCCUGAGCAAGAAGAGGCAGCAUCUGAAGGCAGCCUGUUGAUAUCACCCCCUCAGGAAAAAUGUGAAAAAGAAAAUAUGGAUACGGAAGCUACAAACCAAUUUGAAAACAAAGCUGUUCAAACGGAUUUAGAAGACAGGGACGUUUUGGGAGAUACCAGUAAAGAUGUGACUGUCAAAACCCAGCCUCAGCGUUUGCCUCAGCCAAACACUUCAGCACUGCAACAGAGUGAAGAAGACACUGGAAAGCUACAGAAUGGUCAUGUAGGUCUUAGUAAUAUCAAUGGAAUCCGCAAUGGGGUCAAACAUGUUGCUUCAGAUCAUAGAAAGUUAUCCGCUCCUGUUUCUCAAAAAAUGCACAGGAAAAUCCAGUCCAGCUUGUCUGUGAGCAGUGAUGGAAGCAAAAAAAGCAAAAUGAGUUCAGCUUAUUCUCAAAAACCAUCCUCCUCACCAGAAGAUUGCUGUGUUCACUGUAUCCUCGCCUGCUUAUUCUGUGAGUUUCUUACACUUUGUAACAUUGUACUGGGACAAGCAUCGUGUGGCAUCUGUAGUUCCGAAGCAUGCUGCUGUUGCUGUGGAGAGGAAAUGGGCGAUGACUGUAACUGCCCUUGUGAUAUGGAUUGUGGGAUUAUGGACGCCUGUUGUGAAUCUUCAGACUGUUUGGAAAUUUGCAUGGAAUGCUGUGGAAUUUGUUUUCCAUCAUGAAACCUCAUGGCGGCUUGUACCACCACCAACUGGAGUGCUUCUUAGAAACAGGAAAGACUUGUAUUGUAUUUGCACUGCUAUCUGUUUUUACUGGACAUCAAUCAAAAUAUUAUAAGGAAAAAAAGAAAACAGACAGGAAUAG